UGAUGAAGAGAAUGAAAAUAUUUUAUCUGCAGAGAACAAAACUUUUGUUGCAAUGUGUUUGUUGCCUCAUUUACUGGAAAGGAAAACAAAAACUAAUAAAAGUCCUGAGUCUUACUUUUACCAGUUUGGUGAAGCAGAAGAAGUUGCCAUGGCAGCAAGACCUGGAAUGGCCCCAUUUU